UAGGCCCUGGGUGUAGUUCUAAGCAUUUUUCCGCCUUUAAGUGUGCCGACGGGACGUCGACACAGAGGGAGGGGGUGAAUUGUGACCGAGUGAUAAUGAUGGGGCGGGGUAUACGUGUUCCGUGUUGUCUAUAAAUAGCGUAAAGGCUGUCAGGGUGCGUCACUUCCUGCUGUGUUGACUGUUCUGUUUCUUCCGGUCGGUGUUUGUGAUCCUGAAGCGCCAUAGUGAGGUAGGAACACGAUAAUCGGAUUAACGCUGUAAGCGUCUGUAUAGAGACGUUUAGUCUUUUUGUACUUUGUUGCAUUAAUUGCAGAACGGGAGCUGCUGUGUGAGCGCAUGAGCUGUUAAGUGCAAGGCACGGAUGUUAUAUUUCAGUGUUAUGAUCCUGAAGCAAGGAAGUUAGCUUCCAAUUUGAAAGAGCUUGUGGGCUGUGGCUAAGUGCAAACAACGAGCUGCAUUACAUAGCAUUCUGACUGACUUGAGUGCGACGCGAUUUAGGUGCAGAGCUUUCAUUCCACUUGCGGAUUACCGUAGAGAUUUUCCAUGGUGGAACUUUGUACACAUGGACCUCUGAUUCUUAGGCCCUGCUGUUUUGCUUAGGAUUAAAUUGUGUUAUUUGAGUUGAUUAUAUAUUGAUUGUUUUGGAAACUACUAAUUCUAUUAAUUUAUUAUUAUACAUUGAUUGUUUUGGAAACCAAUCAUUUCAUUAAUUUAUUAUUUUGAUUUUGUUUUGUAUGUAUUGUACCAACCGCCAAAACCUCAAGCACUGUGACUCGGGGAGAACUAAAUCAACUUUUCUGUGUUUUAGGAGCCAGCCUGCGUGGAGUUCUUUCUCUUUGGGGUCAUCUGGGUUUUCCCCACUGCCUGUGGUAUGAGGUGUCCUGCACUGCAUGGAUGUUGAGUUUAGUGUGUAGAAUUAUUUGUAUUGUUCACUGCACUUCUAUUUAAACGUGUGAUUUGCAUCACGUGUGUGUGCUCGAGGCGGUGGGUUCCUGUCCCUUGAUGCCCUUUUCUCCUUCGCGCAGGCCUGGUUAACCUGGAACUAUAACUGGUGGGUUAUAUUUUAAUAUUUGAACUGACAUUUACCCCUUUUAAAUUGAAUGUUUAUUUUUAAAUUAUUGUGAAUAAACUAGGAAAAUCCUGAUCUAUUUUAG